AGUCCCGCAACGAGCGCAACCCUCGCCAUUAGUUGCCAGCAUUUAGUUGGGCACUCUAAUGGGACUGCCGGUGAUAAGCCGGAGGAAGGUGGGGAUGACGUCAAGUCCUCAUGGCCCUUAUGGGCUGGGCUACACACGUGCUACAAUGGCGGCGACAGAGGGUUGCGAGCUCGCGAGGGCAAGCUAAUCCCCAAAAGCCGUCUCAGUUCGGAUUGUUCUCUGCAACUCGAGAGCAUGAAGGUGGAAUCGCUAGUAAUCGCAGAUCAGCAUGCUGCGGUGAAUACGUUCCCGGGCCUUGUACACACCGCCCGUCACACCAUGGGAGUUGGUUCUACCCGAAGCUGGUGCGCUAACCUUUUAGGAGGCAGCCAACCACGGUAGGAUUAGCGACUGGGGUGAAGUCGUAACAAGGUAGCCUA
rnacentral:rRNA from 1 species